GAUGAACGCUGGCGGCGUGCCUAAUACAUGCAAGUCGAGCGAACAGAUGAGGAGCUUGCUCCUCUGACGUUAGCGGCGGACGGGUGAGUAACACGUGGAUAACCUACCUAUAAGACUGGGAUAACUUCGGGAAACCGGAGCUAAUACCGGAUAAUAUAUUGAACCGCAUGGUUCAAUAGUGAAAGACGGUUUUGCUGUCACUUAUAGAUGGAUCCGCGCCGCAUUAGCUAGUUGGUAAGGUAACGGCUUACCAAGGCGACGAUGCGUAGCCGACCUGAGAGGGUGAUCGGCCACACUGGAACUGAGACACGGUCCAGACUCCUACGGGAGGCAGCAGUAGGGAAUCUUCCGCAAUGGGCGAAAGCCUGACGGAGCAACGCCGCGUGAGUGAUGGAGGUCUUCGGAUCGUAAAACUCUGUUAUUAGGGAAGAACAAAUGUGUAAGUAACUAUGCACGUCUUGACGGUACCUAAUCAGAAAGCCACGGCUAACUACGUG
rnacentral:rRNA from 1 species